rnacentral:sRNA from 1 species
UGCUUUUACGACCCAAGGUCGCGACGCC